AACGAACGCUGGCGGCAUGCCUAACACAUGCAAGUCGAACGAGACCUUCGGGUCUAGUGGCGCACGGGUGCGUAACGCGUGGGAACCUGCCCUCAGGUUCGGAAUAACGUCGGGAAACUGACGCUAAUACCGGAUAAUGUCUUCGGACCAAAGAUUUAUUGCCUGAGGAUGGGCCCGCGUUGGAUUAGCUAGUUGGUGGGGUAAAGGCUCACCAAGGCGACGAUCCAUAGCUGGUCUUAGAGGAUGAUCAGCCACACUGGGACUGAGACACGGCCCAGACUCCUACGGGAGGCAGCAGUGGGGAAUAUUGGACAAUGGGCGAAAGCCUGAUCCAGCAAUGCCGCGUGAGUGAUGAAGGCCUUAGGGUUGUAAAGCUCUUUUACCAGGGAUGAUAAUGACAGU
rnacentral:rRNA from 1 species